UACGGAGGGUGCGAGCGUUGUCCGGAAUCACUGGGCGUAAAGGGCGCGUAGGCGGCGCGAGCAGUCGGCGGUGAAAGCCCGGAGCUCAACUCCGGGUCGGCCGUCGAUACUCUCGUGCUUGAGCACUGUAGAGGCAGGUGGAAUUCCGGGUGUAGCGGUGGAAUGCGUAGAGAUCCGGAAGAACACCGGUGGCGAAGGCGGCCUGCUGGGCAGUAGCUGACGCUGAUGCGCGACAGCGUGGGAGCAAACAGG
rnacentral:rRNA from 1 species